rnacentral:rRNA from 1 species
UUAAGCGACUAAGCGUACACGGUGGAUGCCCUGGCAGUCAGAGGCGAUGAAGGACGUGCUAAUCUGCGAUAAGCGUCGGUAAGGUGAUAUGAACCGUUAUAACCGGCGAUUUCCGAAUGGGGAAACCCAGUGUGAUUCGUCACACUAUCAUUAACUGAAUCCAUAGGUUAAUGAGGCGAACCGGGGGAACUGAAACAUCUAAGUACCCCGAGGAAAAGAAAUCAACCGAGAUUCCCCCAGUAGCGGCGAGCGAACGGGGAGNNNNNNNNNNNCUGAAUCAGUGUGUGUGUUAGUGGAAGCGUCUGGAAAGGCGCGCGAUACAGGGUGACAGCCCCGUACACAAAAAUGCACAUGCUGUGAGCUCGAUGAGUAGGGCGGGACACGUGGUAUCCUGUCUGAAUAUGGGGGGACCAUCCUCCAAGGCUAAAUACUCCUGACUGACCGAUAGUGAACCAGUACCGUGAGGGAAAGGCGAAAAGAACCCCGGCGAGGGGAGUGAAAAAGAACCUGAAACCGUGUACGUACAAGCAGUGGGAGCACGCUUAGGCGUGUGACUGCGUACCUUUUGUAUAAUGGGUCAGCGACUUAUAUUCUGUAGCAAGGUUAACCGAAUAGGGGAGCCGAAGGGAAACCGAGUCUUAACUGGGCGUUAAGUUGCAGGGUAUAGACCCGAAACCCGGUGAUCUAGCCAUGGGCAGGUUGAAGGUUGGGUAACACUAACUGGAGGACCGAACCGACUAAUGUUGAAAAAUUAGCGGAUGACUUGUGGCUGGGGGUGAAAGGCCAAUCAAACCGGGAGAUAGCUGGUUCUCCCCGAAAGCUAUUUAGGUAGCGCCUCGUGAAUUCAUCUCCGGGGGUAGAGCACUGUUUCGGCAAGGGGGUCAUCCCGACUUACCAACCCGAUGCAAACUGCGAAUACCGGAGAAUGUUAUCACGGGAGACACACGGCGGGUGCUAACGUCCGUCGUGAAGAGGGAAACAACCCAGACCGCCAGCUAAGGUCCCAAAGUCAUGGUUAAGUGGGAAACGAUGUGGGAAGGCCCAGACAGCCAGGAUGUUGGCUUAGAAGCAGCCAUCAUUUAAAGAAAGCGUAAUAGCUCACUGGUCGAGUCGGCCUGCGCGGAAGAUGUAACGGGGCUAAACCAUGCACCGAAGCUGCGGCAGCGACACUAUGUGUUGUUGGGUAGGGGAGCGUUCUGUAAGCCUGUGAAGGUGUGCUGUGAGGCAUGCUGGAGGUAUCAGAAGUGCGAAUGCUGACAUAAGUAACGAUAAAGCGGGUGAAAAGCCCGCUCGCCGGAAGACCAAGGGUUCCUGUCCAACGUUAAUCGGGGCAGGGUGAGUCGACCCCUAAGGCGAGGCCGAAAGGCGUAGUCGAUGGGAAACAGGUUAAUAUUCCUGUACUUGGUGUUACUGCGAAGGGGGGACGGAGAAGGCUAUGUUGGCCGGGCGACGGUUGUCCCGGUUUAAGCGUGUAGGCUGGUUUUCCAGGCAAAUCCGGAAAAUCAAGGCUGAGGCGUGAUGACGAGGCACUACGGUGCUGAAGCAACAAAUGCCCUGCUUCCAGGAAAAGCCUCUAAGCAUCAGGUAACAUCAAAUCGUACCCCAAACCGACACAGGUGGUCAGGUAGAGAAUACCAAGGCGCUUGAGAGAACUCGGGUGAAGGAACUAGGCAAAAUGGUGCCGUAACUUCGGGAGAAGGCACGCUGAUAUGUAGGUGAAGUCCCUCGCGGAUGGAGCUGAAAUCAGUCGAAGAUACCAGCUGGCUGCAACUGUUUAUUAAAAACACAGCACUGUGCAAACACGAAAGUGGACGUAUACGGUGUGACGCCUGCCCGGUGCCGGAAGGUUAAUUGAUGGGGUCAGCGCAAGCGAAGCUCUUGAUCGAAGCCCCGGUAAACGGCGGCCGUAACUAUAACGGUCCUAAGGUAGCGAAAUUCCUUGUCGGGUAAGUUCCGACCUGCACGAAUGGCGUAAUGAUGGCCAGGCUGUCUCCACCCGAGACUCAGUGAAAUUGAACUCGCUGUGAAGAUGCAGUGUACCCGCGGCAAGACGGAAAGACCCCGUGAACCUUUACUAUAGCUUGACACUGAACAUUGAGCCUUGAUGUGUAGGAUAGGUGGGAGGCUUUGAAGUGUGGACGCCAGUCUGCAUGGAGCCGACCUUGAAAUACCACCCUUUAAUGUUUGAUGUUCUAACGUUGACCCGUGAUCCGGGUUGCGGACAGUGUCUGGUGGGUAGUUUGACUGGGGCGGUCUCCUCCUAAAGAGUAACGGAGGAGCACGAAGGUUGGCUAAUCCUGGUCGGACAUCAGGAGGUUAGUGCAAUGGCAUAAGCCAGCUUGACUGCGAGCGUGACGGCGCGAGCAGGUGCGAAAGCAGGUCAUAGUGAUCCGGUGGUUCUGAAUGGAAGGGCCAUCGCUCAACGGAUAAAAGGUACUCCGGGGAUAACAGGCUGAUACCGCCCAAGAGUUCAUAUCGACGGCGGUGUUUGGCACCUCGAUGUCGGCUCAUCACAUCCUGGGGCUGAAGUAGGUCCCAAGGGUAUGGCUGUUCGCCAUUUAAAGUGGUACGCGAGCUGGGUUUAGAACGUCGUGAGACAGUUCGGUCCCUAUCUGCCGUGGGCGCUGGAGAACUGAGGGGGGCUGCUCCUAGUACGAGAGGACCGGAGUGGACGCAUCACUGGUGUUCGGGUUGUCAUGCCAAUGGCACUGCCCGGUAGCUAAAUGCGGAAGAGAUAAGUGCUGAAAGCAUCUAAGCACGAAACUUGCCCCGAGAUGAGUUCUCCCUGACUCCUUGAGAGUCCUGAAGGAACGUUGAAGACGACGACGUUGAUAGGCCGGGUGUGUAAGCGCAGCGAUGCGUUGAGCUAACCGGUACUAAUGAACCGUGAGGCUUAACCUU